AGGUGAAAUUUGGUGUCAGUAAGUGGAGGAAUUAUUGGAUAAGAUAUUUUGAGGCUAUCAAAGUCGGGGUAUAAAACAGGAUUAGAUACCCUGUUAUACUGGGCUGAAAGUAAUUUACUUGAGUAGUAAAUAGUUAUAUUCUCGAAACUUAAAGGAUUUGGCGGUAUUUUAGUCUUGUUAGAGGAACCUGUUCUUUAAACGAUAAACCACGAAUUAUCUUACCUUUUUUUGUAAAUCAGUUUGUAUACCGCCAUUAUUAGAUAGUUUUUAUAAAAAUCUGUUGAAAUAGUUUAUGAGCUAAUAUAUUAGGUCAAGGUGCAGCCAAUAAGGGGGAAAGAAAUGGGUUACAAUGAGAUAUGUGUAUAACGGAGGAUAGAAGGAAUAAUAUUUCUAAAGGUGGAUUUAAUAGUAAUUCUUGUUUAAUAAGCAAGUUUGAUAAUAGCUCUAAGAUAUGUA
rnacentral:rRNA from 1 species